UUUUUUAAUUGAGGACUGGAAUGAAUGGUAAUUACCAAAGGGGUGGUUUUUUUAAAUAAUUUUGAAUUUAAUUUAAAGGUAAAAAAGCUUUUAUUAAUCCUUGGGACGAGAAGACCCUAGAAGUUUAAAAUAUAAGUAUUUUUAAUUGGGGCAAUUAUUUGAAGAUAAAAAUUUUUAAUGAAUGUUUAAAUUAAGUUAAAUAUAAAUUACUCUAGGGAUAACAGCGUUAUUUAAUUUAUGAGUUCUUAUUAAAAAUUAAGUUUGCGACCUCGAUGUUGAAUUAAAA
rnacentral:rRNA from 1 species